UAAGCGGAGGAAAAAGAAACCAAACAGGGAUUGCCCNUAGUAACGGCGAGUGAAGCGGCAACAGCUCAAAUUUGAAAUCUGGCCCCUUUGGGGUCCGAGUUGUAAUUUGCAGAGGGUGCUUUGGCGUUGGCGGCGGUCUAAGUUCCUUGGAACAGGACAUCGCAGAGGGUGAGAAUCCCGUAUGUGGUCGCAUGCCUUCGCCGUGUAAAGCCCCUUCGACGAGUCGAGUUGUUUGGGAAUGCAGCUCUAAAUGGGAGGUAAAUUUCUUCUAAAGCUAAAUACCGGCCAGAGACCGAUAGCGCACAAGUAGAGUGAUCGAAAGAUGAAAAGCACUUUGGAAAGAGAGUCAAACAGCACGUGAAAUUGUUGAAAGGGAAGCGCUUGCAGCCAGACUUGCCUGUAGUUGCUCACCCGGGCUCCUGCCCGGGGCACUCUUCUGCAGGCAGGCCAGCAUCAGUUUGGGCGGUCGGAUAAAGGGCUCUGACACGUACUUCCCCUCGGGGUUGACAUACAGGGGAGCCGCAAUGCGACCAGCCCGGACUGAGGUCCGCGCAUCUGCUAGGAUGCUGGCGUAAUGGCUGUAAGCGGCCCGUCUUGAAACACGGACCAAGGAGUCUAACAUCUAUGCGAGUGUUUGGGUGUCAAGCCCGAGCGCGCAAUGAAAGUGAACGGAGGUGGGAGCCCCUCGGGGUGCACCAUCGACCGAUCCUGAUGUCUUCGGAUGGAUUUGAGUAAGAGCAUAGCUGUUGGGACCCGAAAGAUGGUGAACUAUGCUUGAAUAGGGUGAAGCCAGAGGAAACUCUGGUGGAGGCUCGCAGCGGUUCUGACGUGCAAAUCGAUCGUCAAAUUUGGGCAUAGGGGCGAAAGACUAAUCGAACUAUCUAGUAGCUGGUUCCUGCCGAAGUUUCCCCUCAGG
rnacentral:rRNA from 1 species